AAACUUUACACUGUACGCAAGUGCGAUAAGGGGACUCCGAGUGUGAAGGCAUAGAGCCUUCACUUUUGUACACCGUAAGGUGGUGUACGAAUAAGGGCUGGGCAAGACCGGUGCCAGCCGCCGCGGUAAUACCGGCAGCCCGAGUGAUGGCCGAUAUUAUUGGGCCUAAAGCGUCCGUAGCUGGCCGGACAAGUCCGUUGGGAAAUCUGCUCGCUUAACGAGCAGGCGUCCAGCGGAAACUGUUCGGCUUGGGACCGGAAGACCUGAGGGGUACGUCCGGGGUAGGAGUGAAAUCCUGUAAUCCUGGACGGACCACCGGUGGCGAAAGCGCCUCAGGAGAACGGAUCCGACAGUGAGGGACGAAAGCUAGGGUCUCGAACCGGAUUAGAUACCCGGGUAGUCCUAGCUGUAAACGAUGCCCGCUAGGUGUGGCGCAGGCUACGAGCCUGCGCUGUGCCGUAGGGAAGCCGAGAAGCGGGCCGCCUGGGAAGUACGUCUGCAAGGAUGAAACUUAA
rnacentral:rRNA from 1 species